UACCCUGAACGGUGGAUCACUUGGCUCGUGGGUCGAUGAAGAACGCAGCUAAUUGCGCGUCAUCAUGCGAACUGCAGGACACAUGAACAUCGACAUUUCGAACGCAUCUAGA
rnacentral:rRNA from 4 species